UAAUUUUUUGGGCACUUUGACUCAAAACUUGAUUCACACCCCCUUUCUCAGUCUCUCUGUCUCUCUUUGGUUCCAGUCGCUCUGCAUUAUCUCUCUCUCGCUUUUUUCUCGUUCUCUGUCAAACUAAUUAGUCUAGGAUUUCAGUCUAUUUUACUGAUCGAAAUGGGAUCGGAGCUUCGGCACUCGAUUUAGCUUUCUCUUAAACUAGUUUUAUCUCUCGAUUUGAGAGUUAAUCUGGGAGCCUAUGUUGAAUCGAACUCCUAAAAUGCUUGGAGCUCUGUGGCUUCAUUGGCUUGGGAUUUGAAUUCCAAGGCUUUGAAUUUAGGGCGAUGUCUUGAUCAUAUCAAACGUUGGUGAGUCCCGUGCAGUUUUGCAGUCACCUCUAGUAAUGGUAACUUGGAGCUAGUUCAACUUACUAUUGACUGUAAACACAACCUACCUCUACCUACCUCUAGUGAUGGUUAGAAAGUAUUUUAGCAACUACUGGAGAGAUAUCGCGCGGGAAGUCCAGGAUUAGCAUUAUCCAGAGCUUUUGGUGACAAUUUCAUUAAGGAAUUCAUAUUGGUUUAUUAAUAGUUGCUCAAUUCUGGAUAUGUCAGAUUAGCUGUAGAUUUGAUGUUGGUUUAAAUUAUAUUUGAUGUUGGUUUUUGUAUGCUUCCAAUGGUUUGUUUAAAUGGUUUGGGAAGUAUUGUAUAUUAACAGUAGAAAUGAAUUUUUUUUUGGAUAAAAUGUUGCAAAACCUGUAUUCAAAAAAUUGUUGCAGUAU